AUCAUAUUAGUUUGGUGCAAAAGUAAUUGCGGGUUUUCCCAUUACUUUUAAUGGCAAAAAUUGCAAUUACUUUUGCACCA
ensembl:miRNA